rnacentral:rRNA from 1 species
GGACCCGCACAAGCGGUGGAUGAUGUGGAUUAAUUCGAUGCAACGCGAAAAACCUUACCUACCCUUGACAUGUCCAGAACCCUGCAGAGAUGCGGGGGUGCCCGAAAGGGAAUUGGAACACAGGUGCUGCAUGGCUGUCGUCAGCUCGUGUCGUGAGAUGUUGGGUUAAGUCCCGCAACGAGCGCAACCCUUAUCAUUAGUUGCUACGCAAGGGCACUCUAAUGAGACUGCCGGUGACAAACCGGAGGAAGGUGGGGAUGACGUCAAGUCCUCAUGGCCCUUAUGGGUAGGGCUUCACACGUCAUACAAUGGUCGGUACAGAGGGUUGCCAAGCCGCGAGGUGGAGCCAAUCCCAGAAAGCCGAUCGUAGUCCGGAUUGUUCUCUGCAACUCGAGAGCAUGAAGUCGGAAUCGCUAGUAAUCGCGGAUCAGCAUGUCGCGGUGAAUACGUUCCCGGGUCUUGUACACACCGCCCGUCACACCAUGGGAGUGGAAUCUGGCAGAAGUAGGUAGCCUAACCGCAAGGAGGGCGCUUACCACGCUGGGUUUCAUGACUGGGGUGAAGUCGUAACAAGGUAGCCGUAGGGGAACCUGCGGCU